ACAACCCUAUAUAUAAUAGUUGGUAUGUUUUCCCUAAUUUCAAUUCAAUUUCACCACUUUCAAUUUAAUACUUCUUUCUCUCCUCUCCUACCUACCACGUAUCAAGAAUUAGGUUUUCACAUGGAUCGGAUUCCGAUCUACUCGCCAAUCGUGCUUUUCCUACGAAUUGGUGCGAUUACUUUUCGAUUCGACUUUUUUCUUGCUUACGUUCUUUCACUCUUACGUGUCCGUGUUUUAUUGUUUUUCCAGGAUUUGAAGCCCGGUGUCACCGAUCUACCGUUCAGAGGUGUGAUGAUCGUGUUCUUGUUGAUUGUUUCGUGAAGGCUCGGUUAACAUAGCGCGGAUCGCGAGAACGAGAUUAGGCCGGUGCAGCGGUUCAUUCUUGCCGUUCCUGCGUGGAGUUCUUGGCAUUCGGAUUUAAAGAAUGCUAUGAGGGUUUUUGAGGGGAAAUAUUCGGUGUAAAUGGUAGAAUGAAUAUUUGGGGAUGAAGUGGUUGUGGAGAGCUUUGUCAACCGACCAUUGCCAUGACAGGUGCGCUUGCAUGGCAGGUCAAAAAAUUUAAUAAAAAAAAGAUUAUUUGUGGGUUUUGAGGGAGAUCGUACGGGAAUUCUCGGGUUCUCCCUCUGGUGUGGUGGCGUGUUUGAUGUGUUCCUCUUCCUUCCUUCGCCCUUUCUUUUAUAUCUUUCUUUUCCUCGCUCACACUCCUUGCCACGGAUACACCACCACUGGACUCGCUUCGCCAUCCAUCUAACGAGGUAUCGUAUAAUCUAUCAGUCUAAUUUUUCAUUUACAAUAACGCCUUUCUUUUUUCGCAACAUAGUCAAUAUACAUACAAAUAGCAACGACAAAAUGAAUACAAUUGCCAUCAUUAAUUAAUUGAAUCAAGGAAUUUGUAUAUGAGAAAUGAAUCACAUGUAGUUUAUCUUUCCAUAUGGUGAAUUAGUAAUUGAAGUGAUAUUAUUAUGUAAAUUCUAAUAUAACAGCUUGGAUGAUAGAUUCGUAAGAGCAAUAUUGAUCCUUGGGUCGACUUCUAUAAUAACUUUAGUCAAUACACAAUACUUCAAGUUAACAAUUGAUUGAGAUUUUUUCCUCUGUAAACUUAUUCUUCUUCAUCUUUAAAUUUUGCAACGCUAUUACUACGAGUAUCAUUUUCGGUUGUGUUUCACCGUACCAUGCAGUGAUCUUCCUCAGCUUGACCGGAAAGAAUUACAAGGUUUCAUGUCUACAAAAGGAAACGUUUCAAAUAUAUGUACUUAAUCGUCAAUAUUUGGAGGUAUAGCCUCCUCAAAUUUUAUUUAAUAAAGUGUCACUAUAUUCACAAUUUUCAGUGUAUGGAAUAAUUCUGUAUUGGCCUUUGGUUUAUUUUGUCAAAUUAUGUCGGUGAUCAUUCACUUUAUAUGUUUAUGGAUGGAGUAAAAAAAUUCUUUUAUGUGCAUUGGCUUUUGAUUUUAGUGAUCUCUUUUGUGUGAUCCAACAAUGAAUUGAAAGAUUUUGGUCAUUAAUGAAUGAUUUUUUACAAAAGAGACAUUGCUAAUACUAAAAGAACUUGUUAUCAUUUGUAUAAAUUGUAAAACAAAGUCUGAAUGAUGAUAAUGACAUGAACCUGAAAUAUAUUAUCUUAUAUAAUCGAUUAAAUUGCAUGGGAAAUUCAAAUAAAUAAUCUUAUUAUAUAAGAUUAAAUUGUACAUGAACUAACAAAAAUCUCAUAAAUUGCACUUAAUAAGGCAGAAAUAAUCCAAAAUGACCUACGCCAUAGAGUUGAAUGAUACUAAGCAAGCUCUGUUCACCACAUAUGUCUUGACCAACCACCAUUGAAAUACCACAAACAUUUUGGCUUCAAAAGAUAUCUACAAAACAGAUUAAAAAGAAUUUUUUGGUACCUAGUUUAUAUUGGGUUAGUUAGGAUUAACACUCUUUUGUUUUGUUUUUUGGUUUUAUUCGAGAAUUCAAACAUACUUUCCAUUAGGAACCCCAUGAUUUCUCAUAUAGCAUGUGUUUGAUCAUGACCCUUUUUCAAACUAUAGAAACAAGUCACAAAUGGUAAUGUAGAUAAUAUUUUGUAUUUUUGAAUCAAUUUGAUGUUAUUGCUUAUUUUGUUAUUUUUCUUGAACAAAUUUUAGUUUUAAUUUAAUUAUUGAGUAGGUUUUCUAGUUUAAUUUUUCUCAAAUAAAAAAAGAACUGAAAUAUUAAAUUUUGAAUUAUGGAAAAAAAAAAAGAAUUUUUGUUUAAAUAUUAAAUAGUGAGAUGAAUUAGACACGUUUUAGACAAUAAAAUAUGAUUGAAUCCCUUAAUUUUUAUUUUUUUUACAUCAUAAAAGAGCAUGAAGAUGAUUGAGGCAUUUAUGUGAAUUAGGAACCUAGGGCCAAAUAGCCAACCUUUAUAGAUUUUAUUUAUAUAUAUCCCUUUUCAGGCAAGAAUUUUUGUUAUUAUUGCCCCUACACCUUUAAUGAUAUUUUCCUACCCUUUGGCAUGUUUAAGAAAGGAGAAAAUAGAUGAAAUAAAUAUAGGAAAGGGAAUGGUUGGUUCUAAUUGUUAAAAGCUCAAAAAGUUCAAAAUAGGAAGAAUUUAUUCCUAUUCAUGAGAAAAAGAAAAAGAUGAGAAAGAGAAAAAAAAAAUCAUGUUGAAAAUCAUGAAACGGUAAAAAGAAAAAUGAGGAAAAGUGUGAAGUCAAAAGAAAAUGGUGCUUAGAUAAUACAUAUGUUCUAUAUUUAGAUUCACUACAAAAAAUCAUGUACGAAGUGGCGGUUUUAAUAUGGCAGUUAUUAAUAAGCGCCACAAAUUUCCGUAUAAUACGACAUUUCAGUAACCGCCACAAUUAUCCUUCAAAAUAUGUUAAUUUGAACCGCCACAAUUAUCCUUGAGUUGAAAUGCCACAAUUAUCCAUUCAAAAUGAAAACCCCUCCAUUCCAUUUCUCAUUAUUCCCAAUUUUUUUUGAAAACCUUCUUUCACUCUUUAGAAACCGAAUACACUUAACUUCAGAAACUAGACUUUUCCCUCUCUCCCUCUGCAAACACUUCACAAACCCUUUCUUCAUCUUCAUGAACGAAUCCCUUUUUUCACCUCUUCGCGAAACACUCUUCCCUUCAAUGUCGCUCUUCACUCUGGCCUUCACUCACUCUUCCUUUCAAUGUCUUCUCACUCUCGUGUCCCCAAAACCUAACCCUCACUCUCGCGCCCUAAACCUAAUCCUCAAUCUCGUGCCCUUCACUGUCCGCCAUUGCCUCCUCCUCGUAAGGAUUUCAAACUUCUGUCCACCUUUGUUCAGGUUUGUGCUCUAUAAACUUGUCUUCGAAAUCUAUUGCUCGAUUUCCUUUGUCGUGUGCUGGUUCUUAAUUUGUGAAAUCUAUUGUGAACAAAUUUUAGUGUAUGGUCCUUUAAAUUUAAUUUGCGUUCUAGUGUGUAUUUAGAGUGCUAUUGUUUUACAUCUAAGGUGGAAAAUGAUGUUCAAGUUCGUGAAACUGCAAAGGUUCCUAGAUCCCUUCGUCGAAGACCAUGGAUUAAUUAUGGACAAUAUGAGGACCAUUCAGAUGAAGACUCUGACUGUGGGUGACUGUAGGUGGCUUGAUCAAGUCCGUGUCAUAUUGAUUUAUAUCUUGAUUUUGAAUACAAUUAAUACUCAACAUUUCCUACUGAAGAAAUUGAGGUCACAUUCUGUAGAAACUCAAUAAUUUUUGGCUGCAUGAAACUAUUAUCUAUUUGUUGCCCUUAUAUGCUGCUCUACUUACCCAACUUUCUAAUGUUCUUAUUCUCCGCAGGAGAGAAAGAGAGAAAGUGAAACAGAGUGAGUACAUCUUUUAACUCUUUAAUCACCACAUUUGCAUGUGCAACUUAACAACAAAAUUUAAUUUAGGAAGAAUGCCAUGAAGUAGUUUUGUCUUAAUAGUUCGUGAAUAAAAAUUGAUUGAGGUGAUG
rnacentral:lncRNA from 1 species